UACGGAGGGUGCAAGCGUUAUCCGGAUUCACUGGGUUUAAAGGGUGCGUAGGUGGGUCUGUAAGUCCGUGGUGAAAUAUCCAAGCUUAACUUGGAAACUGCCAUGGAUACUAUAGGUCUUGAAUACCGUGGAGGUGAGCGGAAUAUGUCAUGUAGCGGUGAAAUGCUUAGAUAUGACAUAGAACACCAAUUGCGAAGGCAGCUCACUACACGAAUAUUGACACUGAGGCACGAAAGCGUGGGGAUCAAACAGG
rnacentral:rRNA from 1 species